rnacentral:rRNA from 1 species
CCUACGGGUGGCAGCAGUGAGGAAUAUUGGUCAAUGGGCGCGAGCCUGAACCAGCCAAGUCGCGUGAGGGAUGAAGGUUCUAUGGAUCGUAAACCUCUUUUAUAAGGGAAUAAAGUGUGGGACGUGUCCUAUUUUGUAUGUACCUUAUGAAUAAGGAUCGGCUAACUCCGUGCCAGCAGCCGCGGUAAUACGGAGGAUUCGAGCGUUAUCCGGAUUUAUUGGGUUUAAAGGGUUCGUAGGCGGCCUUUUAAGUCAGCGGUGAAAGAGUGGGGCUCAACCAUAGAAGUGCCGUUGAAACUGGGGGGCUUGAGUAUGUUUGAGGCAGGCGGAAUGCGUGGUGUAGCGGUGAAAUGCUUAGAUAUCACGCAGAACCCCGAUUGCGAAGGCAGCAUGCCAAGCCAUGACUGACGCUGAUGCACGAAAGCGUGGGGAUCAAACAGGAUUAGAUACCCCAGUAGUC